GAAGAAGGCCCUAGGCCCACAUCCCCACGCCCCUCGGUCCAGGCACAUGCCCACAGCGCACACCGCCUCAGCCCGGCCCUCGGCCAUGCCCUGAACCAUGCAGGACACCCAGGCCAGGCGGCCAGCCAGGCCACGCCCCAAGAGAUCAUUUCCCGAAAUCCUCAGGGUCCUGUCAGCGGCAGCUCAGCCCCAGGCUCGCCGAGUCCUAUUGCCCCCUCACACUGCACCCCAGCUGGUCUUGCCCAAGGUGUGGGGUUAAAGGAGGUCAUAGCAAUAGGGAAGCCCCUGCCUACUGCAGGGGCCGGGAGACCCUGGUGGAGAAGGCAGUGAGGGCCCCAGGAGGAAGCCAGUGGACAGUUCUGACACAUAGCUGCACCACGGCUGGAGAUGAGCUGGUGCCAUCAUCCCCACUCCACCUGCCCCCAGCCCAUGUGUCCAGUGACCACGGCCCUCCAACAAUAAAAUGCUGGAGGGGAAUGAGGGAAGCGCCGGCAUGCCCAUGCAGUGCCCCGCGGGGUGCCAGAGCCCCGUCGCGGUCACAGCUGUGUGUGGAAGAGCCCAGCCCUGGGGACACCUGCAAACAGCUGCUUGUCCACAGCCUCUGGGACAUGGGCUGGGCCCCUGCAGGGAGCAAGACUGUCCCCAGUGGAGCGCACGUCCUGACGGGCUCUGAGGAUCGUCUGCAUGUGGCCAGCGUCACAGUGGCAGGGCCAGCAGACGGCGAGCUGCCCAGACCUGUCUGGAGCCCUGCCAGCCUCAGAGUCCUUCAUGGAGAGCCGGGCAUCUGGGAGACCUCGCAGAGUGGUGCUCUGAAGCCCAGAGAGAACAGGGUUCUCCGAGGCCUGGAGCUGGCCCCAGGACGGUGCUCGCAGGAACAUGCUGUGGCCAUCCAGCCCUGGCCACUUUGCCUAGCCUGCCUGUGGGGCUCCUCCACGGGAUUCGCAGAAAGGCUGCCCUGCUGCAGCUCGCGGUGCCAGCAGGAGAGCGAGAUGGGGCUCGUCCACUGUGCUUGCUAUGCAGCAGGCCCUCGACCUUUCAAUUUGAAAGAGAUUUGUCUCCUUGGCUGAAGAUUAAACAAUAUGCAGGCAAGAUCCAGUCCUGUCUUGCUCCCCUGGAUAGACGAGUGUACCCCCAAACAAACAUUCCACAAACUCUUAGAGCAGGAAGGGUCUCCCUUCACCCUGAAACAACUCACGGUGCAGAUGAGUUUGGGAAGGGGCUGUGACUUACUAUGUGGCCCUGAGACCCCGGAACCUCCCUCCCCUCUCCCCAGCCCUGGCCCGCUCCAGCCACCUGGCCCACUCCCUGCCCAUCACACUGAAGGACACUGCCCCAAAGAGCCUGACCCAGCUGGGGCUCCAGCCCUGUUCCAUCAUUGAUUGUGAGGUCGCUGCACAUCACUGGGCCUCUGUCUCCCCUUCUAUAGCAUGAGAGAUCCAAGACCUUUUCAUGUCUAGUACUCUGCACUAUGCAACCUAGAAUAGGAAUGCUAGAUCCCCAGCACACAUGCCCUAUCUUGUGAUUUCUGCACUCAUGGCAGACAUCACUAAUCAAUUGCCAAUCUUCACCACCAAGUUCCUAUUACAUAGCAGAGUCCUCAACACAGUGCACAGGUAACCAUUUUCUCACCCACUUAUCAUAGGCACAACUGGGUCUAAAAGACAGGCACACCUACAGCAAGUGGCAAUGAGAGGAACUGCUUCAGAAGGGGCCCUGCAAGGGGCUCUUGCACCAAGCAGGUCUCCCUGGGGGCCUGACAUGCCCACAAAGCCCAGAGAGCUGCACAGAGUAAGAGAGCUGCAGGACACAGCCUUGCCGCCUUCUCUCCUUAGCCUUCCCACUGCCAUUUGUCUGCAGCAGGCCCAGAGGCCCCAAGGGAGACAAGACCAAGGCUCAGACCCCACCAUCCCUCCAGGGCGGCCCAGGCCCCUGCAGGGCCUCUGAUUCCUCCUGAAGCUGAGCUGAGGUCCCGAGGUCAGGCACGGGAGCCUGGGUGUCCUGUGUGUGGCCCGAGCUGGGGCAGGGCUGGGUCUUGGCAGGGGAUGGACCUGCUCCCGCACCCGGCAUGGCAGCACGGCCUUGCGCCGGCUCACUCCUCACUCCACCAAGGCGGGCAGGUGGGGAGCAGGGCUGAGGCUCCGCGCCCACCCCUGCCAGCUUGUACUUAAUUAUAAUGAUAAACGGUGGCAGGCGUCCACGGCCACGUUGCGGAACAUGACAAACACUCCGCAUCUCGGAGCCAGCCGGCUGGGCUCCCACUCCCUGCACCCCUGCACAGUAGGUGAAGGUUAUGCGAGGCCACGAGGCCCCUCCCCUGCCCCAGGCUGGACCCAUGGCCACUGGAAGCUGGACCUGCACCCUCACCCAGCCCAGGCUCCCUCACACCCAGGCUCAGCUCCUCCCAGCAACCUCAGGAGGACUUGUGUCAAAACUAGGAC
ensembl:lncRNA